CCCAUGUUUACUGAUCUAUCUUAAAUGUAAGGUAAUGUGUUCGUUGAUCCCUUUUAUUUAAAAAGAGUUCUUUCCAGGAGAAUAUCAUAAUAAUAUAUACAAAAGGAAAGAAGUGGGGAAAGCAACAAAUGCGGCAAAAUAUGACAUAUAGAAAACAAAAUGGUUAUGGAGUAAACGUUCGUGUGACAACAACUCAGACGAUACAUAAAAAAUCAGAAUAAUGAAGAAAAAGUUGGUUUCCCUAUAUACGUGAAUAUGCAGUGUUAGUGUAUGAGGCGCGUUUAUGAUUUUCAUUAUGUUACUUGAUAUGAAAAAUUGACAAAAAAGAAUAUUUUGAUUGUAAAAGUAAAUCCUGAGCCUGUAAUAGC
rnacentral:lncRNA from 1 species